UCAAAGAAUUAACCAAACUUCCCACUACCAAAUCAGUGUAGCCUAAGAUACGGGUCUACAGAUUUCGGUUCAGUCUUUUCUCAAAACCAGUCCCAUUUUGGUUAAAAUUGGUUGAGUCCACCCCCUAAUACAUUGUGCUACCGAAAAACAUGGAGAAUUUCAGAUAUGGAGCGACAUCUAUGGAAGGAAAAAUAAAUUGGCGGUAAGAUUUUGUUGGGUUUCCCUCCUUUUAGUUCUUUUUUACUUCAAAGAUUUUAGGGCUUCCUCCUUUCAAUUCCUUUUUGGCUGCCCUUGAGGCAAAGAAAAUUGGCGGUAAAAUUUUAGGGUUCCCUCCUUUCAAUUCCAAAUAUUGGCAAUUGUAAUACUUGGUAUUUUUUCAAAGCUUGGAAAAAACUUUUGGCUGUGUUUGAGGCGAGUCUAUUUUUCUAAUUUAGAUCUUUACUAAUUUUAAAAUAAUUUGAACCAAUUAUAUAGAGAUUACUGCUGAUUGUUACAGAGACUUGUACGUUGAAACUAAAUUUAGAGUUGUUGAAGCACUUAUAUUGCGUUCACACAUUUUGUAAUUUCAUAUGAAUCUCCUUUGCACAUUCUAUUUAUAGUAUCAGUAACAGUUUUCCAUUGAUUUGCCGAAACCGCAUACAAUGCCAGCUACUAGUAUGCUAUGAUAUUGUUGCUGAGUUCUGUACUUCUGUGCUGAGUUCUGGUUUUAUAAGUUUGUUUAUUUUUCUUUCUGUUAGCCAAUUAAUUAUAUUUUGGGAGAUGAACUGCAAAAUUUCAAUAUGUGAAUUUAGCUUUAAUCUUUAUAAGAAGUCAUUUUGUACUUCUAUGAGAUUUAGUGGACAGAUAUUGUUUGUGAUGUGAUCUAGUCACAGAAACAUCCUUUGGACUCUGUGUUGGUGCAAAUUUGAUUAUACAGUUCUCUCUUAUCUGCAUCACUCUACUGAAUUAUGGUCAGCUAAGUUUUAGGUUCUUCAUAAUUACUAGUUCUUGUUAGAUGAAUUGUAUUUGGUUUCGAUCUUACAGGUAAAACGAAUAGUUCACCAGGAUGAGAAGUAGUAAGCAACUUAACAAAUGAAAGUUCAAGUGAACUAUAGUUAUUUAGGGAUAGUUGAGACAUUUUUGUGUUCGUCUCUUAUAGGGAAACCAUUUCUAGUGGCGUUCGUUAGUUCAUUAUUGGAGCUCAACAGAAGCAAAGGUAUUCCAUUAAUAUCAAGAAUCAUUUUCUGCUACUCCUUGACUAUUCUCUAAUAUAUUAUUGUGUUUAUCAUUUGUAGGAAAAGAGCGGGAGAAACAAAGAAAGCAGAAAAAAGUCGACUAUGCCACACACAUCAGGAAGAAAAAGCCUUUCUCAAAUUAUAGAUGAUAUGACAACAUAGAAUAAUGGUGUAAAGCCAACUCGUAAUGAGGUGUGGAAAAAACCCCGCACGAGUGAGAAUAAACAACCAGUAAAUGAGAUAGCUGGUGAAGUUAUGGAAAAGGAGUAGCUCCAAGUUUAGUUUGUGGCUCAGUAUAUAAACGAUCGCAGGUGGAACAACGGGAUUUUGAUGAAAAGGUUGAGAUAGAAGUUCAAAAAUACUGUAGCACUCCAAAUUGAUAUGGAGAAAAAAAUGGCUAAAGCAAAACAAGCUAUGGAAGCAAAAAUGGAAGAAAAAAUGGAUGAAAAGGUGGAUGAAAAGGUAAAGGAAAAAGUGAAGGCAAAGAUCCAAGCAUAUGUACACAGUACGGGAUUUAUGAAUGGCUCAAAAAGUAAAUCAAUCAGUAACGAAGAGCUUUCUGAUAACUCAUGUGAAGACCGCCAACAAUCAUUAUCACCGGUUUCAGUUGUUCGAACAAAAAAGGUUGACUUAAUCAACAACACCUGAAAUAAUGGAGUUGACACGCAAAAAAAGAAGUGGCACUUUUGAAGAGUGUAAUUGGCAAGUGGUGCUCGAAUUGUGGAAAGAUGAAUUCCAUUAGCCUUGUUGUAGAAUUUAUUCUAAAAGUUUAGCGAAUUAAUUCAGAUGAUGAGGAGAGAGUUUGACGUAGUUUCAUGUUGAAAUUACUUUAGCUUUUAUUAGUUAGAAUUUGUUUUAUUUGAGAUAGAACAACCAGUCAUUUGAUUUGAUAGCGUAUAACUUGCAAGGAGACUUCUGCUAUGUCCUUUGAAAUACAAUCUAAAGAUUAUUAUUUCGUAUUUGUUACAUUGUGUAUAAAGGUUGAUAUUUAUGAUUGUUUAAUAUA